rnacentral:ncRNA from 1 species
UUAAAGUUUUAUUCUGACUUUAAAAAUUAGUUAAAUAUCUUAAUACAUGUAAGAUUUAUCUUGUUAUAAAAUUUCUUUAAAAGAAAGUUAUUUUCAAUCGCAGUAUUUAAUUUUGGUAUUUUGUUGAGGCAUGAAUCAGGGAUUAUUAUUAGUAAUAACACAGCUUGUGCCAGCAGUUGCGGUUACACAAGCAUUACAAUUAAUUUUUAUAUAAUAAAAAUAUAAAUAUUAUUUUUUACGGUUUAUCAAAUUUUUUAGGUGAAAUUUUAAGUUUGGGAUAAGUUAAUAUUUUUGAUAUUUUGAAACCAUUUUAUAAACUAGGAUUAGAUACCCUAUUAUUAUCGGUGUAAACUUAUUAUUAGAUUAGUAUUAGUUAUGUUCUUGAAAAUUAAAGAUUUUGGCGGUAUUCUAGUCCAUUCAGAGGAGCCUGCCCUGUGAUUGAUGCUCCACGAGUUUUUUUACUUUUUCUUUCAGUUUGUAUAUCGUCGUGAUAGGAAAUUCUAAUAAGAUAGUAAUUUUCGUUCUUUUUCUUAGAAAGGAUAUCAGAUCAAGGUGCAGUUUAUGGGAAAGUAGAGGUGGGCUACAAUAAUAUUAUUUAAACGGAUGAGAAUAUUAAAAUAUUCUGAAGGUGGAUUUGAUAGUAAUUUUUGUUUGGAUUACAUGAGUGAUUUUGGCUCUAGAAUAUGCACAUAUCGCCCGUCGCUUUCAAUUAAGUUGAAAUAAGUCGUAACAAAGUAGGCUUAUUGGAAAAUGUGCCUAGAAUGCA